UACGUAGGGUGCGAGCGUUGUCCGGAAUUAUUGGGCGUAAAGAGCUCGUAGGCGGUUUGUCGCGUCUGCUGUGAAAACUCAGGGCUUAACUCCGAGCUUGCAGUCGAUACGGGCAGGCUAGAGUUCGGUAGGGGAGACUGGAAUUCCUGGUGUAGCGGUGAAAUGCGCAGAUAUCAGGAGGAACACCGGUGGCGAAGGCGGGUCUCUGGGCCGAUACUGACGCUGAGGAGCGAAAGCGUGGGGAGCGAACAGG
rnacentral:rRNA from 1 species